rnacentral:lncRNA from 1 species
UGACAAAUCCUUAUGUUACGUCGGCGGUGACACUCGUAUGGUUGUUGUUGAUCGCCACACUUCCCUCGCUUCCCUACACCACCGCCUCUCCCUUUCUCUUCUCCGCGGCUGCCCUUUUACUCUCAAGUACCAACUUCCCUCCGAAGACCUCGAUUCUCUCAUCUCCGUUACAACUGAUGAAGACCUCGAGAACAUGAUCGAUGAAUACGACCGAACUUGUUCCCAAACGACGUCGUCCAGCAAGUCCUCUCGUAUUCGCCUCUUUCUUUU